rnacentral:tRNA from 1 species
GGGAUUGUAGUUCAAUUGGUGAGAGCACCGCCCUAUCAAAGUGGAAGCUGCGGGUUUGAGACCCGUUAGUCCCG